rnacentral:snRNA from 1 species
GGAUGCCAGGGCGAUCUGGCUGCAACAUGUGUCACCCCAUUGAUCGGCGAGGUGGAUUCGGCUGAUCUGUCUACAUGGGUGUCCCCUCCCUCCCUCACCAUUCCAUGUGAAUCUCUCCCAAAGCUGCACACCUUCCUGGAAUAGAGCAGGACUGGGCGGGUCAAAGGCAGCCCAGUAGCUGUGUUCCCCUGCUAGAACCCCUAAACAAGCUCUUAACACCUCUCUAUGACGGCAACAAAAAUUUGUAAACCCCAAGUCAUGUCUCCAGGCCCUUGG